UACGAAGGGGGCUAGCGUUGCUCGGAAUCACUGGGCGUAAAGCGCACGUAGGCGGAUUGUUAAGUCAGGGGUGAAAUCCUGGAGCUCAACUCCAGAACUGCCUUUGAUACUGGCGAUCUUGAGUCCGGGAGAGGUGAGUGGAACUGCGAGUGUAGAGGUGAAAUUCGUAGAUAUUCGGAAGAACACCAGUGGCGAAGGCGGCUCACUGGUCCGGUACUGACGCUGAGGUGCGAAAGCGUGGGGAGCAAAC
rnacentral:rRNA from 1 species